UCAAAACAGCGGCCUUCGGGCCUCGCUGCACCCUUGUCUUUUGCGCACCGUAUUGUUUCCUCGGCGGGCUUGCCUGCCGGUUGGACAUCAUAAAACCUCUUUGUAGUUGCAAUCAGCGUCAGAAAAACAAUAAUUAUUA
rnacentral:misc_RNA from 1 species